rnacentral:lncRNA from 1 species
CCAAAACUCACAACUAACUAGGGAAAUUACCAACUGAUCACUUAACUUUCGGAGACUGCAACUUGGUCCAUCUUUUUAAUCGGCGAAGGGCUCGCCGGCGGCUACGAAAACCCAGUUUCCGGUAAGGUCCAAGGCUGUUGGAGACGCGAUUUCCGGCACCGACUCAUCUAUCUCCUACGUCUGGCGCUACAGAGACCCCUGUACACGAAGCCCGAUCACCCACAACUC